rnacentral:RNase_P_RNA from 1 species
ACCACAGACCGCCUUAUCGCUGUCUCGUCUUUUGGGACGAGAGAGAGGAAAGUCCGGACACCAUAGAGAGGCAUAGCGGGUAACACCCGUCAUCUCGUUUUUCGGGACGGGAUAGGACAAGUGCAACAGAAAGUAUGUACAGAUAAUGCUGUAGUGAAACCAGGUAAACUCUAUGCGGUGAAAUACCAAGUAUAUCAGCAUUUAAGGGUUUCUCGUCCGUUGCUGAAGGGUAGGUAGCUUGAUCUUGUUGGUAACAAUAAGGCUAGAUAAAUGAUAAGGGUUCCGUUCAUCGGAAUACAGAAUCCGGCUUAUAGGUCUGUUUUUUUU